GAGGAGGAAUCUAGUACAGCAACUGCCGUAUUUCCAGAGAGCGUUUUUAAUAAGACACCAUUUCAGGAAGGGGUUGAUUAUUUAAGGUGAACCUCACAACAAAUAAAAACCAACUUCACUUCAGGGUUCCCAGGGUUACCCUACCACAGUGACUAGGUGAAAGCCAUGAGAAACAGGUGCUGAGAGGGGCCAGGCUAGAUACAGACCACCUUGGUCGUUUAAACUGAGGCCAGGAAGAACACAAGGCUCCACCCUCUGUGGUAAGAAGCCAGGUCUGCUUUUGGUAACUCUUCAAUCUGUCUAAAUAAGAGUGAGAAAUACAGUUUGGAAAGGAAACCACAACACCAGCCAGCAUCAAGAGCUAUGCGGCCUUCGGAGGAACUUUUUUCAAUAAAAGGUGACUAGAAAUCAGAUACAUCCUCAUAAAUAAACAUAAUCUCCA
rnacentral:lncRNA from 1 species